UACGAAGGGGGCUAGCGUUGCUCGGAAUCACUGGGCGUAAAGGGCGCGUAGGCGGCCAAGUAAGUUGGGGGUGAAAGCCCGUGGCUCAACCACGGAAUUGCCUUCGAUACUGCUUGGCUUGAGACCGGAAGAGGUGGGUGGAACUGCGAGUGUAGAGGUGAAAUUCGUAGAUAUUCGCAAGAACACCAGUGGCGAAGGCGGCUCACUGGUCCGGAUCUGACGCUGAGGCGCGAAAGCGUGGGGAGCAAACAGG
rnacentral:rRNA from 1 species